GUUGGUCUCAGAUUGGCUGUCUGGGCCGGCUUUUCUAUGCACAACCAUCUCUCAGGUUUACAGAAAAUGGUCUCAAAAGGAAAAAAUUUGCAGUGCUGGACUGCAGCCUCAUGACAUGACCUGACCACUGAAUCCGACCAUUAGCACCUUCUGAUUGUAGCGAGAACGAAGACAAGAAGCUGCAGUUUGAUGUGGCUUUUCAGCCACAACAGAAACCGAAAACACAAGACAGGGGAGAGAUAAAUGGAGGGAGAGGGCCUGGAAGAAAGAGACGGAGAGCAGAGAUACUGUGGGACAAGCCAAAGAGAAAUGAGAGAACAACAAGAUUAGGGGACAAAAUAAGUGUUUUUUUCCCCUAUUUCUUGGGGAUCCUGUUGCCAAAGUUUGUGUUUAAAACUUGUACUCAUUAAAAGGCAGCAUGGC